GAACAUUGAAGAACAGUGGAGAACAGUGAACUAAGACUUGGAAACAGGAGAUUUCAGGAAGACUAAUCCAGCUUCUAUUUAUCUUUGCUUUGAACUGGUUGUAUCAAAGUAAAUAGAGCAGCUUUGGAACCCAGAACCAGCUGGAUAUGUGACAUGUGGUCCCUAAAAAGUUUGACUGAACACACCUUGCUCCACCUCUGUGGAUUGCUUGGGCAGCUGCAUGGAUGUCAGUGCCUUGUUGGACUGUGGUUGAGCAGCAGCAGCAGCAGGCAGCUGUUUUGAGAAAAGAACAGCUCUUAUGAAUAAGCUGUAGUAUGGUAUCUGAGCAGCAGAUGUACCACAGGAGUUGGUGGAGACCAAAUCAAAGGUAGUGACACUGGAUAUCAAAGGUAAACUGCAUGGUAGACCUUUGUCUGAAUCUCAGCUAUCUCAGCCAUGUGGACUAUGGCAUGCAGUGAUUUUCUGGUCCAAGAUACAGGAUGAAACGGUCAUGAAAAAUGAAAACUCUGGAGAAUUCGACGUAACAACAAACCAGCAAUAGCCCCGGGCAGACAAAAUUGGUGCAGCACUACCCCAACACUAACUCUAUUGUACCUUUCACCAUCUGUCAAGAUUAAGCGAGCACGGACAUGCAAGCCAGGCCAUCCAGGGGAAAGGAUGUCCUGUCGCUACCUUCACUGUAGCUGCCCGUCUCUCUGAAAGCCUGUAUCAUUUAACAUGUUUGGGCUAAGAGUUCAAAACAACACUAAUGGCCUCUCUGAGGUCUGGUAGAAGCUUCAUAGGAGGGGUAUCUGUUACACCCAUCAGCAGCGCCACCCAGCUCCAACCCUCAGAGGUAUCGCACAUUAUUUUGAUGCUGCGUAAGUCGGUGAGGACGCCUCUGACAGAGGCCAGUGGGUGAUGUUGGGGAGGUCAACAGGGUCACGUUUGAAGACGGGCCUGUGCAAGAUGUCAUGUUAGAAUUCCUCCCCUUUAGCUCACACCAUGACUCCGGAUGAACUUCCUGGAAAAGAGGUCAUCCUCUCCUCAUCCAUCUCCUUGGGUAUACAUAGCAGCAAAAAAUGCCAGAAAAUCAUAUUUUUGAAACUUUACCAACUUUAUUUCCAUGUUUGUUGCUGUUAUUCUAUCCACUGGGACUAAUUUAAAUGAUUGCAUGUCCAAUUGCGUUUUAUGGUGAGACACUUGAAAAAAGGCCUCAGAGAAAGAGGCCAGUUGCACUAAUGUAUACCUGAAUAUAGAGCCUUUCUUGGACGUGUGUUGUGUCUGCAGGCAGGAGCUGUCACCUGUGCUUGGCCAGACCCCAGAACAGCCUCGGCACUCCUCUCGUUGUCCCAGCUGUGCCCCGGUCACACACAAUGUGAGGGAGAUCAUUAACACCCCCAGCAUCUAUCAGGCCUUCUGCCUGAAUGACUGCUUGAGUAAAGGCCCACAUGCUGCACACUCUGCCUGCGCUGCCUCCGGUAAAGACGGAAAGCAAUAAGACUGUUCUCAGAAAAACAUCACGCCGGUGUCACUGUGAACGUAAACAACAGCCAAAGCAUGUUUGGUUGUAGGAAAUAUUAAAUCAGGGACGGUGCACCGCAUCUGCAGAGUUGGAGAGAUUCUAUUUCAAAUGUAGCAGUAAAAGUGUCACGUUAUUUGUUUUCUGUGUUUUUGUUUUUUUACAGGAGGCAGGAAUCUAGUUGAGGAAACAAGGAGGGCGAUGAGUUCAAAUGACAGGUUACCAAUCUAAUUGGCCAUUACACAGAUGUUGCCGAAAAAAUAAUAAAAAAAAAUUGAUAAUUUCUCAUUGACAUAAAAACAACAUGAGCAUUUUGUGGUGACAAGUGAAACAAAAUAUGUUCGUCCAUGUCCUCUAGAAUAACACAUACAAGUGUUUUCUGGUUUGUGCUUGGAGAUUUGAAGGAUUUUUUUUGAUUUGUUUUGAUGUUUACACAUAUAUAGACCUCAUGUACCAUGUCUUACACAUCCUUUCAGGACACAAGAGUACAGGUUGGACUGAGAUAUGAUGGCAUCUAACUUUAUAAAAACUUACCGGCUUAUAUGUAUGUUGGGUCAUGAGAGUAGCUGAAAUAAAAAUUCAGGAGACAGCAAAAGUACACAAUACAAAGUCUACAGGCAGCCAAGCAUAGUAUCCACUGGCUAAAAGCACAAUGUUAGAUGAACAAAUCUGCUGAGCCCCAAAACUCCCAAAUGGUUUGUAUGAGCUGUAGCUCAGCGUGUAUGGGAAGCACCGAAGGAAACAAUUCUCUGUGAAAGCUGAUACCAGCAUGAACUAAGUCCAGUCCAGCUGAGUAUAUGGGUUGGUAUGGAUUUAUAGUACCAAAUUGAAGCAAGCAAGUACAGAUACCGUAAGCCCAAAGAGGAAAACUCGUGGCAAAAUUAUGAGAAAUCGUAUCAUAGAUGUCCAUUGCUACGCAGAAGACAGCUUUUUAUCUAUAAUGCAGAAAGAAAGCAGUCACAAACUGAGGUAACUGUUUUUCUGUUGAACUUUCAGAAGUACCAGUAGCGUAGAUAAAUUCAGAAAUUAUGGGCAAACAAAUUUCUGAUCUGUAUCCUCUGUAGUCAACAGGAUGACAUCACACAGUUGAAAAUAAUAGAAUUUUAUGUUGCAAUUGAGGUAGGGCUAGAACAAGAUCAUUAUUUUGAUGAAAAUGAAUCUUUCCAUGUUUGCAAGGGCCAGUGUUGCAAGUGUUGUCGUUUGUGUUGUUGUUUUCAGAGGUAGAGAUUAUUCAGGUCUAGUCUUGUUCUAUGGAUUCUGAUUUGUUUGACACAACCACCUUGUCCUGCUCUCCCACACAUUUUGAGAACUUUUGUUAGGUUUGCAAGUAUCAACAUGAGUUGAAAAUAAA
ensembl:lncRNA